rnacentral:rRNA from 1 species
GACGAACCGAGCGAACGUUAUUCGGAAUCACUGGGCUUAAAGGGCGCGUAGGCGGGCGGCCAAGUCAGGGGUGAAAGCCCCCAGCUCAACUGGGGAAGUGCCUCUGAUACUGGUCAUCUCGAGGGAGAUAGGGGCGUGCGGAACUUCCGGUGGAGCGGUGAAAUGCGUAGAUAUCGGAAGGAACACCGGUGGCGAAAGCGGCGCGCUGGAUCUCUUCUGACGCUGAGGCGCGAAAGCCAGGGGAGCGAACGGG